rnacentral:rRNA from 1 species
AGCAUAUCAAUAAGCGGAGGAAAAGAAACUAACAAGGAUUCCCCUAGUAACUGCGAGUGAAGCGGGAAAAGCUCAAAUUUAAAAUCUGGCGGUCUUUGGCUGUCCGAGUUGUAAUCUAGAGAAGUGCUAUCCGCGCUGGACCGUGUACAAGUCUCCUGGAAUGGAGCGUCAUAGAGGGUGAGAAUCCCGUCUUUGACACGGACUGCCAGGGCUUUGUGAUGCGCUCUCAAAGAGUCGAGUUGUUUGGGAAUGCAGCUCAAAAUGGGUGGUAAAUUCCAUCUAAAGCUAAAUAUUGGCGAGAGACCGAUAGCGAACAAGUACCGUGAGGGAAAGAUGAAAAGAACUUUGGAAAGAGAGUUAAACAGUACGUGAAAUUGCUGAAAGGGAAACGCUUGAAGUCAGUCGCGUUGUCCAGGGAUCAACCUUGCUUUUGCUUGGUGCACUUUCUGGUUGACGGGUCAGCAUCAAUUUUGACUAUUGGAAAAAGAUUAGGGGAAUGUGGCAUCUUAGGAUGUGUUAUAGCCCUUGGUUGCAUACAAUAGUUGGGAUUGAGGAACUCAGCACGCCGCAAGGCCGGGUUUUUACCACGUACGUGCUUAGGAUGCUGGCAUAAUGGCUUUAAUCGACCCGUCUUGAAACACGGACCAAGGAGUCUAACAUGCCUGCGAGUGUUUGGGUGGAAAACCCGAGUGCGUAAUGAAAGUGAAAGUUGAGAUCCCUGUCGUGGGGAGCAUCGACGCCCGGACCAGACCUUUUGUGACGGCUCCGCGGUAGAGCAUGUAUGUUGGGACCCGAAAGAUGGUGAACUAUGCCUGAAUAGGGUGAAGCCAGAGGAAACUCUGGUGGAGGCUCGUAGCGAUUCUGACGUGCAAAUCGAUCGUCAAAUUUGGGUAUAGGGGCGAAAGACUAAUCGAACCAUCUAGUAGCUG